AAACUUAAAUGAAUUGACGGGGACCCGCACAAGCAGCGGAGCGUGUGGUUUAAUUCGAUGUUACACGAAGAACCUUACCAGGGUUUGACAUGCAAGUGGUAGCGAAGCGAAAGCGGAGCGACCCUUCGGGGAGCUUGCACAGGUGCUGCAUGGCUGUCGUCAGCUCGUGUCGUGAGAUGUUCGGUUAAGUCCGCUAACGAGCGCAACCCUCGUCGUGUGUUACAAGUGUCACGCGAGACCGCCGGUCAUAAACCGGAGGAAGGUGGGAUGACGUCAAGUCAGCAUGGCCUUUAUGUCCUGGGCUACACACACGCUACAAUGGCCAGUACAAUUGGUAGCUAAGCCGCGAGGUGGAGCCAAUCCGUAAAAGCUGGCCUCAGUUCAGAUUGCAGCUGAAACUCGACUGCAUGAAGUCGGAGUUGCUAGUAAACGCAGGUCAGCUAUACUGCGUUGAAUACGUUCCCGGGGCUU
rnacentral:rRNA from 1 species